rnacentral:rRNA from 1 species
CUCUUUCUAUAGAGAUUCGAUUCGGAACUCUUAUAUGUCCAAGGUCAAUAUGGAAAUUCUUUCAGAGGUUUUCCCUUACUUUGUCUCAUUAUAAAACCGAUAAACCAGAAAAAGAUGGAUUGUUUUGCAAAAGAAUCUUUGGACACAUAA